rnacentral:lncRNA from 1 species
CAGGCCAAAGAAGAUGCUCACAGGAAGGGGGACAAUGUCUUGUAUAAACAGGCCAAAUACACACUGGAAAAGGAGAUCAAAGUGGCAAAGAGGAAUUAUUCUGAAAAACUAAGGACUCAGUUCACUUCCAGCGACUCAGAAUCAGUGUGGAAAAGUCUGAAAGUAAUUACCAACUACAAGACACCAUCCACCAACACUGUGGAGAAUCAACAACUGGCAGACGAUCUGAAUGAGUUCUACUGCAGGUUUGAAAAAACACCCCACACCCGCCCUGAACACCUCUCCACACAACCAUUCACACCUCCAGCAACCCCCCUCUCCCCCACACCUGCAAUUCAGAUCAGCGAAGAAGAGGUGCGCCAGGUCUUCCGGAAGCAGAAAAGGAAAAAAGCACCAGGCCCAGACUGUGUUACACCAGCCUGUCUGAAAUCCUGUGCUGACCAGCUGGCCCCCAUCUUCACACAGAUCUUCAACAGAUCACUGGAGCUGUGCGAAGUCCCUUCAUGCUUCAAACGCUCCACCAUCAUCCCCAUCCCAAAGAAAUCCAAAAUUACAGGACUAAAUGACUACAGGCCUGUGGCUCUAACGUCUGUGGUCAUGAAGUCUUUUGAAAAACUGGUGCUGGCCCACCUGAAGAACAUUACUGGACCCUGGCUGGAUUCUCUUCAGUUUGCCUACAGAGCAAACAGGUCUGUGGACGAUGCAGUUAACAUGGGACUGCAUUAUGUUCUGCAACAUCUAGACAGACCAGGGACUUAUGUGAGGAUCCUGUUCGUGGACUUCAGCUCGGCCUUUAACACUAUCAUCCCAAACCUCCUCCUGCCCAAACUAACUCAGCUCUCCGUGCCCACCUCCAUCUGUCAGUGGAUCAACAGCUUCCUGACAGACAGGCAGCAGCUAGUGAGGCUGGGAAAACUCACAUCCAGCACCCGUACGAUCAGCACUGGAGCUCCUCAGGGCUGCGUCCUCUCCCCACUGCUCUUCUCCCUGUACACCAACGACUGCACAUCUAAAGACCCCUCUGUCAAGCUCCUGAAGUUUGCAGACAACACCACACUCNNNNNNNNNNNNNNNNNNNNNNNNNNNNNNNNNNNNNN